rnacentral:rRNA from 1 species
UACGGGGGGGGCAAGCGUUGUUCGGAAUUACUGGGCGUAAAGGGCUCGUAGGCGGCCAACUAAGUCAGACGUGAAAUCCCUCGGCUCAACCGGGGAACUGCGUCCGAUACUGGCGGGCUUGAAUUCGGGAGAGGGAUGUGGAAUUCCAGGUGUAGCGGUGAAAUGCGUAGAUAUCUGGAGGAACACCGGUGGCGAAGGCGGCAUCCUGGACCGACAUUGACGCUGAGGCGCGAAAGCCAGGGGAGCAAACGGG